GACGAAGGUGGCGAGCGUUGUUCGGAAUCACUGGGCAUAAAGCGCGCGUAGGCGGUCUGUUAAGUCCGAUGUGAAAGCCCCCGGCCCAACCGGGGAAUGGCGUCGGAUACUGAUAGACUUGAGGUUCGGAGAGGUGUACGGAAUUCCUGGUGGAGCGGUGAAAUGCGUUGAUAUCAGGAGGAACACCGGAGGCGAAGGCGGUACACUGGCCGAAUACUGACGCUGAGGUGCGAAAGCCAGGGGAGCGAACGGG
rnacentral:misc_RNA from 1 species